GUCCUUAGUUACCAGCACGUUAUGGUGGGCACUCUAAGGAGACUGCCGGUGACAAACCGGAGGAAGGUGGGGAUGACGUCAAGUCAUCAUGGCCCUUACGGCCUGGGCUACACACGUGCUACAAUGGUCGGUACAAAGGGUUGCCAAGCCGCGAGGUGGAGCUAAUCCCAUAAAACCGAAUCGUAGUCCGGAUCGCAGUCUGCAACUCGACUGCGUGAAGUCGGAAUCGCUAGUAAUCGUGAAUCAGAAUGUCACGGUGAAUACGUUCCCGGGCCGUU
rnacentral:rRNA from 1 species